ACACUGCUACUCACAGUUAGUUUUGCAGGUUUGCAUUUCAGCGUAUAUGUGUACAUAUGGCUGUGCAAAUCCAUGCAAAACUGAUUGUGAUAAUGU
rnacentral:pre_miRNA from 1 species